GAUGAACGCUGGCGGCGUGCCUAAUACAUGCAAGUCGAGCGAACGGACGAGAAGCUUGCUUCUCUGAUGUUAGCGGCGGACGGGUGAGUAACACGUGGAUAACCUACCUAUAAGACUGGGAUAACUUCGGGAAACCGGAGCUAAUACCGGAUAAUAUUUUGAACCGCAUGGUUCAAAAGUGAAAGACGGUCUUGCUGUCACUUAUAGAUGGAUCCGCGCUGCAUUAGCUAGUUGGUAAGGUAACGGCUUACCAAGGCAACGAUGCAUAGCCGACCUGAGAGGGUGAUCGGCCACACUGGAACUGAGACACGGUCCAGACUCCUACGGGAGGCAGCAGUAGGGAAUCUUCCGCAAUGGGCGAAAGCCUGACGGAGCAACGCCGCGUGAGUGAUGAAGGUCUUCGGAUCGUAAAACUCUGCUAUUAGGGGAGAACAUAUGUGUAAGUAACUGUGCACAUCUUGACGGUACCUAAUCAGAAAGCCACGGCUAACUACGUG
rnacentral:rRNA from 1 species